rnacentral:lncRNA from 1 species
UACAAGUAGCAUUUGUUAUUAUUAGUACAUAAGAACACCAUUUCAAAAGAAAUUCUAAAAAUGACAGCAAAUUGCAAUCCAUCACAAUAACAAUGGAAGAGUUGAGAAAAGACUGAAACGCUUGAUUGGUUUACUCAGUUUUUAGGUUGGAGUCGGAGGGUAAAUGCUUGCAAGGAAAGAAGAACUUGCUUCAUUCUCUCCUUGGAAUCCUCAUCAAUAAGGUUACCAUCGCUAUCAAACUUUGCCGGAGGCUGAAACGCAUUCAAGUAAAACUCGGGUUUAUUGAUGAAAUGUAGAUCAAGGAAAACCCCAACUUGGCGAAGAUGAUAAUGUGAUCGCGCACCACCAAAGCCUCCUCCGGCGCUUACGAUGGCAGCCGCUUUAUCUGCCCAUACAUUUGGUGGUCUUGAAGCCCAGUCAAGUGCAUUCUUCAGAGGCGCUGGAAUGGUGCAUAUAAUGAAGUAAUGUGAAAUGGACUGUUUUGAUGUUUAAAAGGAAUCCUAAAAAUGAUAAAUCCUAUCCUAGUAAACUGUCUAGUAACCAAACCAUACAACUUCAUAUAUAUAUAUAUAAAGGAUGGAUUUAUAUUUGAGAUGAUGGGAGUGCAUAUAUAAUUAAUAAACCUAUACUUUGUGAUUAUAUUAUAAAUGACUGAUUCAUUUGAGAAGUUAUAGAUUUAUACAUCAAAUGCAGAUAUAAAGUUGUUAAUGAAAUGAACAUUAAAGACACUGUUCCACAGAGUAAAAAUAAAUAAAUAAAAAAGUAGGAAAGCAUGGGGGGAAGGGGAUGAAGAUACCAGUAAGAGAAUAGUUGUAUUCAGGGGAAGCAAAAAGGAUGCUAUCAGACUCCAAAAUUUUCUGCCUGAAAGCCUCAACCGCAGGGGGAAAUUUGCCAUCAACUUCCAGAUCUGUAUCCAGCAUUGGAAGUGGUGAAAUGUCUAUGUAUUCCAUUUGAACCCCAGCAAUGGACUCCUUGGUAAGCUCCAAAGCUGAAAAAAAAAAGAGAAAUUAAACAAAUCAACAUUCCCCAGAAAAACAAAAUCCAAAACCCAAACUGAAAAAAUAUUUACCGGUUCGAAUUAAGCCUCUGUUGAAAGAGGCUUUCCUUAAAGACCCAGAAAUGGCAGCAACUUUAAUCACUGGUUUCGAUGCUACAACAGCUUCCAUUUUGAUCUUAUAUCUUACAACUUUCUCGUCUCCCUCAGAUUAACUUAGUUAUGUGGGUUAUACAGGAGGGUGGAAGGAUGAGCUUUGGGAGGGGAAAUUGAUGAAAUGGUUUGGGAUAUGAUUCAUCGAUGACGAUUGGAGUUGGUGGAUUUUCUUUUUUUAGUUUCGAUAAUUUGAUUUGGUGUGAUUUGGACCACGGGAAUAGAAUAAUCAAUAAAGAUGCUUUUUUUUCCCUUAACUAAGCAAGGCAUUUUUCUUGUUAAACUAUCUUGAUAGCCGGUAGGGGUUUUUUCACAUUCAAACUAUAAAAAUUUAUAAAAUUAAUUAUUUAAUUUUUUUUAGUUAAAUGGUUAAUAGGAAGAUGAGUGGUAGUUUGGCCGCAUAAAAAAUUUAAUCUUCGACGUUUAUACAUUGCAUCAUUUAGUUUUAAUUUUUUUUAAAUAGCGCUCAAUAUUUAUGCAUUGCCUAAUUUUAACGUAUUGUUUACAUGAAAAUAUAAUUUAAUAUACUAUGUGUAAAUUAGAAAUAUAUAUUUUUUAAAAAGUUGUUUAUUAUUAAACUACACAAUCCUCAAAUACAUUGCUUUUUUUAUACUUCAAAUGACUAAAGUCUCUCAACGGUAAUUAAUUCAUUUUUUGUUAGCUUAAGCUACUAGUCAUUGAUGAAUCAAAUCAAAGCUCAAAAAGAUUUUAAAUUUUCUUUAAGCUGUUCAACUUGCAAUUGGUUAUUUUUUAAAAUUUGGGUCAUAGUGUUUCUUGUUGUUGUUGUUGCUACUGUUUUCAUCUAAUCAAAUGGAAGGAUAAUAUUGGAAAGGGUCAUAAAGAAAAGUAAAACUAUAAAAAGAUCAAAUUAUACAAUUUGUAAACAUUGAGGAUUCAUGUAUUUUAAAUAGUUGAUAUAGGUGUGUAACAAGAAGGAGAUAAGGAGGAGAAAGUGGUGGUGACUAGAGGGUUGAUUCUCUUGUGACAAACGAAGAGUUGGAAUAGGAGGUUGUGAGUGAGGAGAAAGGAAAAAGAAGUAAUGAGGAUACUUAGGUUUCUGUUGUGGGUAAAGAUGGAUCCCUUGUCCCUCGUACUUUGGGUUAUAUAAAGAGGUUACCUCUUAUAUGCUUGUGCUAUGUAAUCGACAAUACGAAUGGUAGGCCUGCUUGUGUGGUUGACUAGGUAGCAAGGUCGUUACAGGUUAGUUGUCACCAUGUGUGGUACUAUGUGAUCUUACUUUGACAUUCUCCUUACAAAGAUUAUACAAGGUUGUUACACUUUAGUGGUCUCUCAAUAGUCCCUGUAGAAGGUUUAUAGUGGAUGGUUUCUAAUAUGGCUCAAAGGGAUCCACGAAGAGUUAGUUACAGAUGGUCUUAAACGGAGGGUCACCCUAAAGGGUGCUAAUUGGAGGGUUAUUAAUGAGUUGCAUCCAACGGGGGAUCCUUAACAAGUUGUACCAUGUCCUGCCAUGUGUCGUUGUUGGGGUUGAGAUAUGGUAAGAAUCAAGAGUAAAUUGGUAUGGUGUAUACAUGUUGAUGGUCAAAAUUAUUAUUAUACUCAUUUUAAAAGCUACCACAUUAACUUUCCAUAAUUAGACAGUUAAGUGAUUAUUUUGUAACUUUUCAUAAAUAGCCAAAAAUAACUCAUUAAUAUAAUUUACAGUUGAAAAGCAAAGUAUUUAAUUUAGCUUUGAGUUGCAAUCGGAAUUCGCUUUGAAGCUAUAAUAGUGACAUAGAGAUGAUAGAUGGUAGGUUUAAUUCUGCUCCUAGUCUCUACUUUUGAAAUUUAACCUUUCUCAUAUAUAUAGAUAGAAUAAAUGUGCAAGCAUGGUCAUCGAAUGCGCUUGUGACUUAAAAGGUUAGUUUAGUAUUGUUUUUAAAAGUGCUUUAAAAAAGUGACGUGUAAAAGUAUUUUUAAAAUUUUUGAUUUAAAAUUUGAGUAUUUAGUAUUACUAUCAAAAAGUAUUUUUGAAAAAUAAAAUAUCUAUUUUAGACAUGGUAUUAUCAAGUAACAAAAAUAUAUAUUUAAAUAAUAUUCAAAUUAAUUAAUAUUAUUAUAUUUUAGUAAAAAUAUAAAAAUAAUUUAUUAUAAUUUGUUAAUAUUUUAAUAUAUAAAUUUUAAAUUUUAAAUUUUAAAUAUUUUUAAGCAACAAAUAUUAGUUGUUAUAAAAUUUAUUUAGAAUAUAUAUAAACUUUAUUUUAAAUAAUUAAAUAUAAACAUUAAAUAUUUGUAAUUGUAUAUUAACACAUUUGCAUUAUUUUAAAAAAUAUUUUUUUUUAUUUUUAAUUAAUGAUUUUAACAUAUUUGUAAUUAAGCACCAAGAAAAAAGAAAGAAAGUAUCGUAUUGUUGAAGGGGUGAAAAAUAAUUAAACACUUUUAAUAGAGAAAAAACUAAAAAUUUUAAUUUCUCCUUUCUAAAAGUAUAUUUUUUUUAAACAAUAGUAAAUAAGGCCUAAAACCGUAGUGAAACAUCUAUUUAUUAUUUAUAAUUUGGUUCCCUUUAUUUGUUUAGUUACUCCAACUUAACCCCAAAAGCUAGAAGCCAAGUUUCCUACUCAUUUAUUCACUCUGCCAAACUAGAAAAUUCUAUAAUAUCAUGUAUCUUCCUGAGCCGCCAUCAUCAUUCUCAUACAAUUUUGUUUAGAAAAUGAAAAAGAAAUUAUUAGAAAGCUGCCAUGAAGGUGGCUACUGGCUGACCUCAUACAUUAGAUUCUAUUAGUGUCAGGUGAUCGGAGGCUUACCUCCGGGAUCCGCCUUCAUUGCUAAUAAUAAUUUUUAGCUAUCAUCAAGUGUUGAGUGUAAUAAUAAGACAUAUUACAUUAUCAAGAAGACAUCUAAAUCUAAAUUUUAAAAAUGAUAUUGUUAAGAGAAAUCGUCAUAAAUUCCGAAUAUGAAUUGUAAAAUAGAUUUAAACGAUGCCCAGAAAAAAUGUCAUAAAUUACUUUGAUUGCCUUACUUUUAACAGGUUAGCCUUUUGAACCAAUGUUUUAGGCUAAAACUCUUGACCAGUUUAUUCAUAAAGCAGUUUGAGCUUUGGAACCAAAGCGGUUUUGGUAGGAUGAGUUUCCUUUCUGGAAUAUAUGGGAGAAGUGAGUAAAAUGACAGGGAGAGAGUAAGAUUUUUUUUAUAUAUUUUUAUUAAGCUUAUAUGUAUAAAAAUUCCUUAAAAAAACUAAUUGAGUUUUUCUACUUAAUUCAAAUUCAAUUCGGCCUUUCUCAUUAAUUAAAAAAAAUAAGCCUUUCAUUUUAUCUUUGACCACAUAGAUCAAUUGACAUAUUAAUUAGAUGGUAUCACAUAGUUUUUCAAUUUUUAAUAAAAUCAUUAAAAAUGUUAAAAAAAACUUAUAAAAAUUUGUAAAAAAAUUCAUAAAUAUUAUAAAACUUUGUUGGCUAUGCUGAUUCACGUAAAUGAACAUUAGGUUACAUAUUUAUGUUUGCUAGUGGAGCUAUAUCUUGGAGGAGCAUCAAAAAUACCUUAACUACUACUUCCACUAUGAAGGCUGAGUUUGUUUCAUGUUUUGAGGCUACCUCACAAGGAAUAUAGUUGAACAGUUUCAUUUCUGGGCUUAAACUUAUGGAUUCGAUUUCUAGAUCAUUGAUGAUAUAUUGUGACAAUUCAACUGCUAUCUUUAUGGCUAAGAACAACAAAAGUCAAAGUCAAAGUAAACAUAUCUACAUUAAGUAUCUAGCCAUAAGGGAACAUGUUACAGAAAAGAAAGUGAUCAUUGAGCACAUUAACAUUGAGCAUAUGUUAGUUGAUCCUUUGACUAAAGGCAUGCCACCACACAAAAUUAAGGAUCAUGUUAUCACCAUGAGACUUUUCCCACCUUGUAAAUUUUUGUUGUAAGAAUGAUUAUAAAGAAACUUUGUUAAGUUUGAUGUUUCUCAUAUUUUGUGCGCAUAUUAAUUUGAUUAUAUCGAGAAAUGCCACUAAAUUAAUUUGGACCUGGAAUAAACAUUGGGUUUAUUUAUUAAAAAUUUUGGGCUAAAGCGUUGAGACAUAAUAUAUUGUGGUACAUGGAAGAUACUACUUAAAUUUUAAGAGAAAAUAUUGUCAUGAUUCGUGCAUUAUGUUUUGACUUUAAGUUUUCAUAGACAAUACGAACCAAAUGGGAAAAUGUUGAAACUCCUUAUGGUUCGUGAGGUCAUUCCUACGUUUCCCAUGCCCCCGCUUUUGUUGCCCGCUACUUGUUUAUGUGGUAGUGGAUGUUUGCGUGAUAGUGGAAUUGAUGGUUUUUUUAUGGGGAACCACCACUAUAAAUACAAACUAGCUUAAAGGCCCCUAAGGACCAAAAACAAGUUUCUGAAAAUAUUCCAUCUAUUGAAGUUUUCGAAUGCUUAGAAGACUUUGGCAGUUUUCAAUUUUUCGUAUGGCUAAAUUUGACGACUUCAUCGAUGGUUUGACGUGCUCAACAGUGGUGUAACAACAUUUGAAUUUUGGCAUUUAGUUCAGACAAUGACUGGAGGUAUUUAUGUUCGAUCUUUUUUGCUACACUAUAACGUUUAAACCGUUAUUUAUGCUUCCAAGUAGCAUUUGUUAUUAUUAGUACAUAAGAACACCAUUUCAAAAGAAACUCUGAAAAUGACAGCAAAUUGCAAUCCAUCACAAUAACAAUGGAAGAGUUGAGAAAAGACUGAAACACUUGAUUGGUUUCAAAAGAAACUCUGAAAAUGACAGCAAAUUGCAAUCCAUCACAAUAACAAUGGAAGAGUUGAGAAAAGACUGAAACACUUGAUUGGUUUACUCAGUUUUUAGGUUGGAGUCGGAGGGUAAAUGCUUGCAAGGAAAGAAGAACUUGCUUCAUUCUCUCCUUGGAAUCCUCAUCAAUAAGGUUGCCAUCGCUAUCAAACUUUGCCGGAGGCUGAUACGCAUUCAAGUAAAACUCGGGUUUAUUGAUGAAAUGUAGAUCAAGGAAAACCCCAACUUGGCGAAGAUGAUAAUGUGAUCGCGCACCACCAAAGCCUCCUCCGGCGCUUACGAUGGCAGCCGCUUUAUCUGCCCAUACAUUUGGUGGUCUUGAAGCCCAGUCAAGUGCAUUCUUCAGAGGCGCUGGAAUG